rnacentral:snRNA from 1 species
GUGCUCGUUUCGGCAGCACAUACACUAAGAAUUGAA